rnacentral:rRNA from 1 species
AGCGAACGCUGGCGGCAUGCCUAACACAUGCAAGUCGCACGGGGGGGCUUCGGCCUCCCAGUGGCGGACGGGUAAGGAACGCGUAGGGACCUGUCGAGGGGUGGGGGAUAACCGCGGGAAACUGCGGCUAAUACCGCAUGACGCCGCGGCGUGACAGCCGGGGCCAAAGGCGAAAGCCGCCCGCCGAGGGGCCUGCGUCCGAUUAGCUGGUUGGCGGGGUAGCGGCCCACCAAGGCGUCGAUCGGUAGCUGGUCUGAGAGGGUGAUCAGCCACACCGGGACUGAGACACGGCCCGGACUCCUACGGGAGGCAGCAGUGGGGAAUAUUGGACAAUGGGCGCAAGCCUGAUCCAGCAAUGCCGCGUGGGUGAAGAAGGUCUUCGGAUUGUAAAGCCCUUUCGGCGGGGACGAUGGUGACGGUACCCGCAGAAGAAGCCCCGGCUAACUUCGUG